AUUACGCAUAUUCAGUAAUGUGUUACUGGGUUAUAUGGAAGCUGGUAGAUGGCACUAAAAGUACCUCCUUUACCAUCCCUUUAACCUCACAAGCGCCAACCCCCGAAUCGCCUUAUGGCAUUACUUCAGGGUUGGCCUUAUUUAGUAACGCUCCUGUACAAGACUGCCACCUAAUGACAAAAUUCGCAACCACUUAGUUGCCAACCAAAUACAUACGCAGCAUAAUGUACUUACAUAUUUAUAACGAUGUCCUAAUUAAAAAAAUAAUUGCAUAUUUUAGAAAUAUUUGUUAUUUCAAUUCUUACAUUAAACGCAACAAUUUUGUCACAUUUCUGCAGUGUCUGUCAAUAAUUAUUUCUUUUUAAAUAAAUCAUAACGGGCAUGAAUAGAAACUAGUUUUACGUAGUAUCUGUUUUAUAAUAAAUAUACAUAUGAGAUGGACUAAACGUAUAGGUUUGUUUGAUAAAGAAACGAACGGAUGAAUUUGUAAUAGUUAGUUGUAUUAAAAUCAGUACAAGUACAAGAGAUAGUGUAUGUCAGUUAUAAUCGUCGUUCACUUAACGUUAUUAUGCCAACCGAAAAAAUAAUAAUAAUAAUAUCCUAUGGAAUACGUUUAUACGUUUAUAUUGGCGGACGUUACGACAAAAAGUUAACCUUCUUAUGUAACUCCGGCUGAAGAUUACAAGAAACGGCAAUAACAAUUUGUUCUAAAUUUAUUUGCCUUUAGAUUUUGUAAACCGAAACAAUCGUUAAUAUCCAAAGGAAAGUAUUUGUCAACUGUACGAUGAUAAAGCUAUAAAUAGAAGAAUAGAUCUCGUUUGAAAAUUAACUUGCAUGGGGACAACGCACGGAUAAAGUACGGUCGGCUCAUCACUAAUAGCCCUUCCUCAAGAUAUUUGCAAUAUAAUUAUAAUUAUAAUUAUAUCUGAUAUUCUGUUCGGCCUGGCAGUCUUACAAAUAUGCUUUUACUCAGUCGUUUUCCUGCCAUUAUAAAGCAUAUCAUAAAGGAUAUAACCUAGCAAACGCGAGGAUGGUACCCCGCUGGGGAUAGCCACAAACAUGUUAAUAUAACUGUUAAAAAAUUCUACCAAAUG